rnacentral:rRNA from 1 species
AUUGAACGCUGGCGGCAUGCCUUACACAUGCAAGUCGAACGGCAGCGCGGGAGCAAUCCUGGCGGCGAGUGGCUAACGGGUGAGUAGAGCACCGGAACGUGCCCAGUUGUGGGGGAUAGCCAGGCGCAAGCCGGAUUAAUACCGUAUACGACCUGAGGGUGAAAGCGGGGGACCUGUCAAGGGGCCGCGCGCGACUGGAGCGGCCGGAGUCAGAUUAGGUUGUUGGUGGGGUACAGGCCUACCAAGCCGGCGAUCUGUAGUUGGUCUGAGAGGACGACCAGCCACACGGGGACAGGGACACGGCCCAGACUCCUACGGGAGGCAGCAGUGGGGAGUUUUGGACAAUGGACGCAAGCCUGAUCCAGCAAUGCCGCGUGCAGGAAGAAGGCCUUCGGGUUGUAAACUGCUUUUGUCAGGGAAGAAAUCCUCUAGGUUAAUGCCCUUGGGGGGAUGACGGUACCUGAAGAAUAAGCACCGGCUAACUACGUGCCAGCAGCCGCCGUAA